UAUGUAGGGUGCAAGCGUUGUCCGGAAUUAUUGGGCGUAAAGAGCUUGUAGGCGGUUUGUCGCGUCUGCUGUGAAAUUUCGGGGCUCAACCCCGAACUUGCAGUGGGUACGGGCAGACUAGAGUGUGGUAGGGGAGACUGGAAUUCCUGGUGUAGCGGUGAAAUGCGCAGAUAUCAGGAGGAACACCGAUGGCGAAGGCAGGUCUCUGGGCCAUAACUGACGCUGAGAAGCGAAAGCAUGGGGAGCGAACAGG
rnacentral:rRNA from 1 species